rnacentral:rRNA from 1 species
UGGCGAACGGGUGCGUAACGCGUAUGCAAUCUACCUUUUACUAGGGUAUAGCCCGAAGAAAUUUGGAUUAAUCCCCUAUAAUAUCAUGAAUUCGCAUGAUUUUAUGAUUAAAGCUUUGGCGGUAAAAGAUGAGCAUGCGUCCUAUUAGUUAGUAGGUGAGGUAACGGCUCACCUAGACUACGAUAGGUAGGGGUCCUGAGAGGGAGAUCCCCCACACUGGUACUGAGACACGGACCAGACUCCUACGGGAGGCAGCAGUGAGGAAUAUUGGACAAUGGACGAAAGUCUGAUCCAGCUAUGCCGCGUGCAGGAUGACGGCCCUAUGGGUUGUAAACUGCUUUUAUACAGGAAGAAAAAAUCCGACGUGUCGGAUCUUGACGGUACUGUAAGAAUAAGGAUCGGC